GAUGAACGCUAGCUACAGGCUUAACACAUGCAAGUCGAGGGGAAACGACAUCGAAAGCUUGCUUUUGAUGGGCGUCGACCGGCGCACGGGUGAGUAACGCGUAUCCAACCUGCCCACCACUUGGGGAUAACCUUGCGAAAGUAAGACUAAUACCCAAUGACGUCUCUAGAAGACAUCUGAAAGAGAUUAAAGAUUUAUAGGUGAUGGAUGGGGAUGCGUCUGAUUAGCUUGUUGGCGGGGUAACGGCCCACCAAGGCGACGAUCAGUAGGGGUUCUGAGAGGAAGGUCCCCCACAUUGGAACUAAGACACGGUCCAAACUCCUACGGGAGGCAGCAGUGAGGAAUAUUGGUCAAUGGACGAGAGUCUGAACCAGCCAAGUAGCGUGCAGGAUGACGGCCCUAUGGGUUGUAAACUGCUUUUAUAAGGGAAUAAAGUGAGUCUCGUGAGACUUUUUGCAUGUACCUUAUGAAUAAGGACCGGCUAAUUCCGUG
rnacentral:rRNA from 1 species